rnacentral:rRNA from 1 species
UACGAAGGGGGCUAGCGUUGUUCGGAUUUACUGGGCGUAAAGCGCACGUAGGCGGUUUGUUAAGUGAGAGGUGAAAUCCCAGAGCUCAACUCUGGAACUGCCUUUCAUACUGGCAAGCUAGAGUCCGGAAGAGGUAAGUGGAACUCCUAGUGUAGAGGUGGAAUUCGUAGAUAUUAGGAAGAACACCAGUGGCGAAAGCGGCUUCCUGGUCCAGCACCGACGUUCAGGCACGAAAGCGUGGGGAGCAAACAGG